UACGUAGGGGGCCAGCGUUGUCCGGAAUCAUUGGGCGUAAAGCGCGCGUAGGCGGCCAGAUAAGUCCGGUGUGAAAGUCAAAGGCUCAACCUUUGAAUGCCGCUGGAAACUGUCUGGCUUGAGUCCGGAAGGGGCGAGUGGAAUUCCUGGUGUAGCGGUGAAAUGCGCAGAUAUCAGGAGGAACACCAAUGGCGAAGGCAGCUCGCUGGAACGGUACUGGACGCUGAGGCGCGAAAGCGUGGGGAGCAAACAGG
rnacentral:rRNA from 1 species